UUUCCAAUGCAGGAUUACCAGUUAAAAAUACUCUCAUGUUUGUUUUUAAAGUAAUUAUUUUAAUAUUAUUCCAAAGAUAUGAGCUUUUUAAACAUGCAUCAACUUGAUCCGCUGGUGUUCCAUGUGAUAUAAUUGGUAACGUUUGACGAAAAUCACCUGCUAAUAUUACUGUUCACAUGUUCCUGGGUUAUCUACAAUAUUAUAGAAGGGUUCUUCUACUGAAUUCAAAUUCAAAGGCAAUUUGAACAUUGAAUGCGCUGUGCGACCUCCUUCUAAUAAAGUUGCAGCAACUCCUGAAGAAGCUACUGCUAAAGCAAUAUCUCCUUUCAAUCGGAGUUAUAGUUUCUAAUAUUAUUCUUGAAUUAUUUUGAAUCAGAAGUAUUACCGAUUAAAUAUGAUAACAAUGGUUCAACUGGACUCCUUGGGACUGAAAGUUUAAUUUAUCCAUUUGCAAAACAUAAACUAGUUGUCGAUUUCUGGAUUGUAUGAAAAUGCUUUCAUUUUGAUGUGAAACAUCUUAUGGCGCGAUACGGUAGUGAGACCGACUGUGGCGUGACGAUGUCCCACUCGUGGCUCUUCGGCUAAAUUCACCGGUAAAUUUCGAAUUUACUGUCACAGAAAUAACUGAAGAGGCAGCAGAUAAUAUUGAUUAGAGUAGUUACAUUAUUACAUUUGUAUAUUUUUGUAUGUCUUUGAAAAUCUUUUAAGUACUUCAUAUGUAAAUAAAAAACAAAAUAGUCUGAUGAUAUUAAUUUAAAAAUUAUUUCAUAGUCAUCUUAUUCACCAUCUAUUUUCAACAUUAUGACAAAAAAAAAAAUUUUUGAUGUUUCACAUCUGCCAGGCGUCCCGCGACGGCUUUUUUUUAAAAACUGUUCUAACUUUGAUUUUCUUUGUCUGGUUCGUUCACUACUGUAAACAUUAGUGAUACCAUCUUCAACAUUUUCUUGAGAUUCGUCUACUUCUCUGUCGUUUUUUUCUAGUACUUUUUGUUUUUUAUCGAAGAAUAUGAAGAUUUUCCAAUAAUUUUUCUUUUUCCCAUAAUAAUAAUAUAAAAAUUUAUGUUAUAUAUAACAUAAAUAAGUAUAUAUAACAACAGAUCUAUGAGAAUAUGUUUUCAACUAACAAUUUAGCGAUAAUUCCUAUAAGACAAUGUAGUAACCCAGGGCGACCGUUCAAUCUUCAAUAUAUAGCAAAUUUGAAUGAAAUUAUGUAAGGUUGUAAGGGAAUAAAUUUUAAAUAACUUUGCGAGUUAAAUGCAUUACAUUGCAUAGCAGAUAAACACAU